rnacentral:rRNA from 1 species
UACGGGGGGGGCAAGCGUUGUUCGGAAUUACUGGGCGUAAAGGGCUCGUAGGUGGCCAACUAAGUCAGACGUGAAAUCCCUCGGCUCAACCGGGGAACUGCAUCUGAUACUGGAUGGCUUGAGAUUGGGAGAGGGAUGCGGAAUUCCAGGUGUAGCGGUGAAAUGCGUAGAUAUCUGGAGGAACACCGGUGGCGAAGGCGGCAUCCUGGACCGGUAUUGACGCUGAGGAGCGAAAGCCAGGGGAGCAAAGCGGGG